UACAGAGGUGGCAAGCGUUGUUCGGAAUUACUGGGCGUAAAGGGCGCGUAGGCGGCUUGGUCAGUCCCGUGUGAAAUCCCUCGGCUCAACUGAGGAACUGCACGGGAAACUGCCUGGCUUGAGUUCGGGAGAGGGAAGCGGAAUUCCGGGUGUAGCGGUGAAAUGCGUAGAUAUCGAGAGGAACACCUGUGGCGAAGGCGGGUAGCUGGGCCGACACUGACGCUGAGGCGCGAAAGCUAGGGGAGCGAACGGG
rnacentral:rRNA from 1 species